UACGUAGGUGGCAAGCGUUGUCCGGAUUUACUGGGCGUAAAGAGCGCGCAGGCGGUCGUCCAAGUCGCGUGUGAAAGCCCCCGGCUCAACUGGGGAGGGUCACGCGAUACUGAUCGACUCGAAGGCAGGAGAGGGUAGUGGAAUUCCCGGUGUAGUGGUGAAAUGCGUAGAUAUCGGGAGGAACACCAGUGGCGAAGGCGACUGCCUGGCCUGUUCUUGACGCUGAGGCGCGAAAGCUAGGGGAGCAAGCGGG
rnacentral:rRNA from 1 species